rnacentral:rRNA from 1 species
AUUGAACGCUGGCGGCAGGCUUAACACAUGCAAGUCGAGCGGUAACAGAGAGUAGCUUGCUACUUUGCUGACGAGCGGCGGACGGGUGAGUAACGCGUAGAAAUCUGCCUGGUAGUGGGGGAUAGCCCAGAGAAAUUUGGAUUAAUACCGCAUACGCCCUACGGGGGAAAGCAGGGGACCUUCGGGCCUUGCGCUAUCAGAUGAGUCUGCGUCGGAUUAGCUUGUUGGUGAGGUAAUGGCUCACCAAGGCGACGAUCCGUAGCUGGUCUGAGAGGAUGAUCAGCCACACUGGGACUGAGACACGGCCCAGACUCCUACGGGAGGCAGCAGUGGGGAAUAUUGCACAAUGGGCGAAAGCCUGAUGCAGCCAUGCCGCGUGUGUGAAGAAGGCCUUAGGGUUGUAAAGCACUUUCAGCAGUGAGGAAAGGUUGUAGUUUAAUACGCUAUAGCUGUGACGUUAACUGCAGAAGAAGGACCGGCUAACUCCGUGCCAGCAGCCGCGGUAAUACGGAGGGUCCGAGCGUUAAUCGGAAUUACUGGGCGUAAAGCGCGCGUAGGGCGGUUUGUUAAGUCAGAUGUGAAAGCCCCGGGCUCAACCUGGGAACUGCACCUGAUACUGGCAAACUAGAGUACAGAAGAGGGGUGGUGGAAUUUCCUGUGUAGCGGUGAAAUGCGUAGAUAUAGGAAGGAACAUCAGUGGCGAAGGCGACCACCUGGUCUGAUACUG